rnacentral:misc_RNA from 1 species
GAUGAAGAUCGCAGCGAAAUGCGAUAAGUAAUGUGAAUUGCAGAAUUCAGUGAAUCAUCGAAUCUUUGAACGCACCUUGCGCCCUUUGGCCAUUCCGAAGGGCAUGCCUGUUUGAGUAUCAUGAACACCUCAACUCUUCAUGGUUUUCCGUGAUGAGCUUGGACUUUGGGGGUCUUGCUGGCCUAUGGUCAGCUCCUCUAAAAUAAAUCAGCUUGCCAGUGUUUGGUGGGUAUCACAGGUGUGAUAACUAUCUACGCUUGUGGUUUUCCACCAGGUAACCUUCAGCAGUGGAGGUUCGCUGGAGCUCACAGAUGUGUCUCUCCUCAGUGAGGACAGCUCUUUGAAUGUUUGAUCUCAAAUCAGGUAGGACUACCCGCUGAACUUAAGCAUAUCAAUAAGCGGAGGA